rnacentral:snRNA from 1 species
GUGCUUGCUUCGGCAGCACAUAUACUGAAAUUGGAACGAUACAGAGAAGAUUAGUGUGGUCCCUGCACAAGGAUGACAUGCAAAUUCAUAAAGUGUUCCAUAUUUUU